ACGCCCCUGACUACGCGUGGGUUGACACAGAUUCUGACUGAGAGUCACAGCCUCAGAGGCAACGUAAACAAGCGUUAUAUUUCUGUAUAAACGAUGGUGUCUGUACUGCCUUACCACUUCGAGCUCGAUCCAGAGAGUUCAGACGGCCGUUACGAUAUAAACGAUCUCCGUCAAUGAAUGCGAUUGGAUUUAACUUUUUUAGGUGUCCUUAGCUCUGCCAGAAUGCUAAACGAAGACGAAAAUGUGUUGCAAAGACAUCCAAAAGGUUUUAAGGAGAAUGCAACAGGUUCCAGGGCCUCUUACCUGCGUGAUUCAUCAUCCAGGUUUUGCACAAAUUGUCUAAAUCCCUACACACAGAACAUUUAUUGUACCGACUAUAAGCCUUUGAGGCGCAGGACUAGAAUAUGCUUGGAGCUUCCUGAUCGGAAUGUUGGCUUCCGACGACCCCUGCACUGAAGAUGGCAUGCAAUCACGUCCUCCUUUGAAGGUCUCUCAAACUGUGAUGCCAGGUCCAUCGGAAUCGGAGUUUCCUUCAGCUUAUCUUCAAAUACCUCAGCAAACACAAGCCUGAUCACAUCAUCCACAUAACUGUACAAAUAUUGCAGUCAAUAAAUCUUUUGUUUUGAUAAUUUAUUUCCCUGCUUCAUACAUUAAGUUUUUAAUUAUGAAUGUAUUUGAAAUAAAACAUUACUGCUUACAGUAUGUCACUUGUGUGUUUUGGGAACAUAGCCUUGUACUUUCCCUCUCCUGCUUUUGUUACGG